rnacentral:tRNA from 1 species
GUGGUAGCGGCCGCAGUCCGUGGUGAGACGCCCCCACGCCUGAUAAGCGUGAGGUCAGUGGUUCAACUCCACUCAGGCCCA